ensembl:lncRNA
CAGGUGUGGACCCUAAUAACCUGCCCCGGAUUCAUGCACCCAAGGCAAGGUUGAGCUUCCCACCUCCAAGCUGCCGUCCUCUCUGGGGUGGUCCACAACCCAGGAGUAUGUUUCUGGGAGUCAGAGAGGGCAGGAACCCGAGGUGCUCCAGGUGAUUCGGGGCUGGGUGUGGUCCUCACGGAGCAAGUCGCAGCGGGGUCAAGAGAAUGGCGAGAGACUUCACUGGACAAGGACUGGAAGGCACCUAUGGAGGGGACAGAAUGAGGUGCAGCACCCUGCCCUGAACCGCUCCAUCCUGGGGCCAGCUUCGCCGCCUUCAUGCCUUCCCCUGUCCGGCCCCACCACGACCAGGUCACAGUCCCCGCCUGGAUGUCCCUCCCUUGGACUCCUGUGAACACCAAGCACAGCAGGUGGCCCUGCUCUGUCACUGAGCCUGGGACCACAGAACUAAAGACGCUGCCAAGGACAUCCGGGUCCCUUCAGCUCAGACCUCAAGACUGCUGCACUUUCAACUAAAACGGGGCCACCACCGCCAUCUCCCCUUCCCCAAGGCACUCGCACAGAUGGCGG